rnacentral:lncRNA from 1 species
AAAAAUAAAAAUAAAAUAAAAAUGUGGAUAAAACAUAAUGAAAUAAAAUAAAUAGAACGCAGUAUAAUAAAACAGAACGAAAUUUGUUUUUUUUUAAUUACCAAUUUCAUAGAAAAAAAAAAAAAAAUGGAAUGUUUUACAAUCUUUUUUUGUUUUUUUUUUGUAUGUUAAUUUUUAAAUGUGUUCAAGUUUGCUUUCUUAUUUUUUAUUUUUCAUUUUUUUUUUUUUGUUAAUAAAUUUGUUAUUAAACGAAGGUUUGUAGUCUGUAUGCACACAUACGUACGUACGUGCAUACUUACAUGCUAUAUGCAACAUAAAUAUAUAUAUAUAUAUAUUUACGUACGGUUACAUUUCUCUCCGUUUUUGUGUGUACUCAUGUUAAACCUUACGUUUUGACAACAUAUUUGUUUUUAGUUAGUAAAACGUAUCUUCAUGAGUGAAUCCAUAAUUGUUUUAUACCACUCAUAAUUUUUUAAAAGUAUGAAACAAAAAUAAUUGUAUAUAUAUAUAUAUAUAUAUGUAUGUAUUAAAUAAAAUGAAAUUAUUCCUGAUGCUUCUUUUCAUAAUUUUUUUAAAAAAUAUACAAUGUGAUAUUAAAGAAUUAAGUUCUCAUGAAUUUUUUAAUAUGUUAACGACAGGAAAAAACUAUAAAAAAAAAAAUCAAAAUUUAAAUAAUAUUUUAGAUUUUAAAAGCAUAAAUGACUUACAAGAAAAUGCACAUAUAAAGACAACCAAAGACUUUGUUCUUUAUGUGUAUGCAAAAUGGGAUAACGAUUCGAAUAAUUUAAUAGCCGUUUUUAGAGAAGUAGAAAGAAUAAUAAAAGAAAAGAACUUAAAGUUAGAUUUUUAUAUAUUUAACAUAGAAAAUGCUAAAGAUUUAUGUAAUGCAUUAAACAUCACGUCACUCCCCUUGAUACUAUAUAUCUCUUCGGGGCAUAAAAAAAAAAAAAAUUCAUUAUUUCAGAGGAUUUUUAGUUCCAGUAAAGAUGUGAAAAUAAACAAUGCCUUUAGGUAAAACGAUAAGAAAAAAAUAUCAUAAAUAAUUAGCAAUAAUUAACAAUAAUUAGCAAUAAUUAGCAAAAUUUUUAUGAAUAAAAUUACCACAAUU